rnacentral:misc_RNA from 1 species
GUGAAUCAUCGAAUCUUUGAACGCACAUUGCGCCCGCCAGCAUUCUGGCGGGCAUGCCUGUUCGAGCGUCAUUUCAACCCUCAGGCCCUGCCUGGCGUUGGAGGACUGCGCACGCAGCCUCCCAAAGCGAGCGGCGGCGGCGCCCCGAAACCGAACGCAGUAGUUACUUCUCGUUCUGGGUCCGGGUCGUUGUCCUGCCGGAAAACCCCCCUCUAAUCAAUGGUUGACCUCGAAUCAGGUAGGAAUACCCGCUGAACUUAAGCAUAUCAAUAAGCGGAGGA